CUUCUCUUUGCCCAGAACCUGCUCCGGAAACCCUUGUUAAAAGAAACAGGGAUUUGAACAUUAAGAUAUCUAUAUUCUGAGAAAUAACACCUGAAACUCAAAGAAAAUUGAC